AAUCGGAACUUGUGGCUUACAAUUGUGGCUCUCUACUGGACGGGCGUGUAGACAAAUCAAGCGCACCUUCUCUAGCAUUGGUAAUAAGGCAGAAGUAAAGGCAGUGGCUUAAGACGUUGGCCGGGCUUUUUUUUGGGGGGGGGGUGAGCUACGAUACAAACGCAUACCGAAAAACAUGACAUUGCCGGCUCAUGACGGAAUGAAAAAAAAAGUUGAAGGACAUUGAGAAUUGUAGUUUGGAGCCGAGGGGCUCUCCAUUUGCUUACCCAGACGUCCAAGUUGCUCAUGGCCCCAAACUCGACGGCUGGAGGACACGGUUGUCCAAAUGAAUGCGCCAAUCAAUCAUCACGGAAAUAUCGAGUCACACCGACUGUCAAGUCUUUGCUCAAACGGACGCACGCGUCGACCUCCACCAUGAACACAACGUCCAGUUACACCAAGUAGUGUUCAGCGCGGACCACACAUGCGCAAAGUUGAAACAGAUGAAAUGUCGGGAGCACAACAUCACCCGGGUACGAACGAUUGAGGCAGCGGCGCGGCGUUUGUUCGAGAUCAAGACGACCAUCGCUCGAGCUCUCCUGACCAACUUCCACUUCCAAAAUCGAGGAGAUGAUGUUCCGCUUGAAAUGUCGGCGACAGCUGUUGGAGCGAGCGUUCGCGCCGAAUGCAGAAUACUUACACAUCGGACGGAGAGAGGCGAAGAACUGGAACAGAAAGAGCGCCGGGCUGUCCGACAAUUUGCUUCCAGUGGCGUCGACCGGCUCGUCGGAACGUUGACUCGGCUCUCCGCGAGCUGGGUCGGGGCACCGUCUAGCGCAGC